AGCACCUUUAAAUCAGUCCCGUGAGACUGGCAAGGUAACGUGAACCGAGGUUCACUUCGCGGCAGCAUACUGUCUGCUUUAAGCCGCCCAGCGAAUCUCUAUGUCUAUCAGCGCAUGCUGAUGGCUUCUAACUCCUUGCCUACGGGCAGGGAGUUUUUUUGU
rfam:Paenibacillus rhizosphaerae strain FSL R5-0378 NODE_2_length_604952_cov_1.31433_ID_3962, whole genome shotgun sequence.